UCGCUCACACAAUGGUUCCCUCUCCUUCGUAGCCUCGCCCUCUGUCCGGUCGACGUCGUCUCUCUCCCCUUGAUGAAGGGGACCCUAUACACGUCUGCUCGCCUCCCAUUCGUGGCUCUUUUUGGAAAAGGCUCAUGAAGGCGAGGCGAAAGUCGAUGGCGCAUAUCUCCCAGCGAUUGGAGUGGUCUUCAUCUCGUCGUCUACACGCAAGAGGAUAUAUGGAUCUGGUUCAUUUGCUAUCCUCGCCCAGCGGUGUCGUCGUGACGGAAGAAGACAACAAAGGUCAUCGUCGAGUGAGGCCGCGAUGGCCCACAUCUCCCCUUCGAGCUUCUCCAACGACGUAUCAAGCAAACUCUGUCGUACCUGCACCGGCAUGCAGCCAUUAGAAGAGAUGCUUCCUCUUCCCCAAGACCUAUUCGACUUCAUGGGCCCACCACUUACCCUCACACCAUGGUGGCUCCGACGGGAGGCGCUCGCCCACCACCGUUUUGGCAUCUUCCCCGACAUGGAUCCAGCGCCUCCAUUUCGAUGUCUUCCUCAAAUGCUCAGAUCCGCCCCCUCCACCACCUCUAGCCUCACGCCGCGCUUUGACAGCUUUCCCGCCUCGGAUCCAGACGCCCCGCCACCAAGCCUAUAAAUUGAAGAGGCAGAGGUUGAUCUACAUGUGGCGUUGGCGGAUGAUCUAUUUUCGUUCGCUUGCAAUAAAGGAAUUGGUUUGCUUAUAUUUUUCUCUCAUUUCCAGCAUGAAAUUUGCUACUAUGCGAUGUCACUGGGGAACAUCUUUUCUAUCUUACUUUUGUUCUGGGAUGUAUGACUUUUCCCUAUUCAGAAUGUUUUUAUCAUUCUAGAAUGUAGGCAGUAUCUGCUCAUUCUCUUGUACAUUUUUGCUAUUGCUUGAUACUUGAUAGACCAUUUCACUACAGUUUGUUAGGACAACUCAACUGUUUUAGGCAUGUGCAAGGAAAGUAAUGGAGAUGCUAACUGCAUGUUCUGAUGCAUUGAUGGAUUAGUCCUUUAUCCUCCACUUUGUGUGAUAUAUGCCUUUAUAAUUCCACUCGUUAUGUGCUGCUUUUUCAUCCUUCAAAUUUGGCAGCAACAAAUGCUUCUCGGUCCUCACUGCGUAGAUAGUGGUACUUCAGAUUGGUAGAGCAUCGGUUAAUCUAGGGAAUAUUUAUUCCACAUUUAUGACCUGCCAUUUUCCCAAAAGAUUAAAUUGUUAUGGGGAAGUCGGCUAUAUAUUUCUUCUCUGUUAUCUUAAAUAUCAUGUGCUUCUCAUACAAAUCAACUAUGUAUUUUCCUCUCCUCUUCCUUGUGUUUUAUCCUACCUUGCUCUAAGCUUCACCAUACACUGAAUUCUCUUGAGUCUUAACCAGAAUUGUUUCAUUGUUCUUUUUAUCAAAACCAUAUGCUGGCGAUGCAGCGGUAGGCUCGUUUAUAAUAGGCAGAACCUCCAUCCUGUAAGUAUUGUGACACCAACAACGAACUCAAAUUGGUCCAUCUCUAAUGAUGUACUCACCAUGUGUAAUUCAUUAUCCAAAAGUAGUUCGUGACAUGUAAUUUUAUUUUGUUUCCAUCACUAUUCACUGGACCUUUUCAUUUACCUCAUGUUUUAUGGGUGAUUUGGAUAAACAUGAGUAUAUCCUUCAGGUUUACAUAUUUUCUUAGAAAACAAUGACAUAGUCAUUAGAGUGAGGGAAAAUAUGUUGCAUAUUUAUAGCUUCUAAAACCAUUUUUAAAUGUGUGAACAUGAUGUCAUGCUAUUUCCUGAAAUUGUUUAUCUUUACAUAUUUAUAGCUACUAAUAGCAUUUUUAAAUAUGUGAACUCGGAUGUCAUGCUAUUUCCUAAAAUUGUUUGCCUUUAUGUAACUACCUCGCCUUCUGUUUCCUGAAAAACUAAAACAAUUCAAAUUGGUUUCAGACAAUUUUUGGCUUAGUUUGACUGUAUUUGCUUCCAUUAGGGAAAAACCAUCAUAAUGAUUGUGAUGUGGCUUAAUGAUUUUCCUCCAAAUUGUCGUAGCUGAUGAAUCACAUUUUAUGAAGAGUGGACAAGCAAAGAAACGGUUGCUUCACUUCCUAUUUUGCAGGUUUGGUGCUUCUUAUGAGGAAAACACAUUUUCUUUCUAUGAAGGCCGGUAUUUGAGGUCAUUUCAUGCAACUAAUGAUUUUGGUGAAGAUUGUCCAACCUUAGGAUAUAGCAGGCAUCAAUUAGACGUAUCUAUCAUGACCCUUUCAUAGUUUAACGAGUAUUAUGUUUUUCUGUAAAUCAUAGAAAUGUUUAUUUUUUUAACGCAUAGAAAAUCAAUGACAAAGAUGUAGAGUUUUUAUGAAAGUAAA